rnacentral:rRNA from 1 species
UACAGAGGUCUCAAGCGUUGUUCGGAUUCAUUGGGCGUAAAGGGUGCGUAGGCGGCGCGGUAAGUCGGGGGGGAAAUUUCGGAGCUUAACUCCGAAACUGCAUUCGAUACUGCGGUGCUUGAGGACUGGAGAGGAGACUGGAAUUCAUGGUGUAGCAGUGAAAUGCGUAGAGAUCAUGAGGAAGACCAGUGGCGAAGGCGGGUCUCUGGACAGUUCCUGACACUGAGGCACGAAGGCCAGGGGAGCAAACGGG